AUGUGGAGCAGAAAGAGUCUGUCUGUCCGUCCGUCCGUCUGUCUGUCUGUCAGGAGUGGAAUGGGAAAGUGGAGGAGGCGAAGAAGGACUAUGAGGGAGUACAGAGAGAGUGGAAGAGGAUCCUCUGCCCCCUCCAAAAAAGUGAGGAAAAAGAAGGAAGGGAAGAGUGAUGAGAAGAAUAAGAAGGGGAAGUCUGGUGGAGGGAGAGAGAGAGGGAGACAGGAAACGACAGCUUUAAGAGCAGGGAGUUUAUCUCCAGCGAAGAGAGCUCCUCAGAGUCCAGACAGUGGCACGGGCAAACGCAAGGGUUCAGAUGAACAAGAGGUGGAGGUGGCCUCGACCCCACCCAGUUCUGACUCUGAGAGGAGAGAGAGAGAGAAAGAGAGGGAAGGACAUGGAGAGGGAAAAGAGGGCAAAGUGUGGAGAAGGGUUGUGAACUCUUUUACCGCCCUCUGUUCUUCUCUCACGCUAAUUAUAUGACAUUUUAAAGUACAUGAAGCAAGUAUGAAGAUAAAUACCGACGUAUUCAAAAAUAUUCUGUCCAGGAAUUGUAAAACUAUCCCUCUUAUCUUAGGAAGCAAAAUACCGUAUUUAAUUAUUUUAGCCCAGUGCAAAAAUCCCAUAACCUGACCAGUGAUGACUACAUUUCCCAGCUACACGUGCAUGACAUUGCCUGUCGGGUUUAGGCUGUGAACAACUCAGGUAAAACCCCUUGCCUACUGUGAAAUGUAGUUUUCCAGAAUAUUACUAAAUUAAAUAUAAUAAGUAAAUGCUCUUUUUCAUGUCUUGAGUGUUUUGGUGCAGACUGGCUUAAAUGCUGUCUGUCAUAUACACAUGUUCAUACACACAUGCACACGCACACACACACACACACACACACACACACAUAAACAACCAUUUGCUGUUAGCGAAGCACAAUAAACAUUCUAUGGUUAUUCAAUGUGGUUUAGAAGGAUGUGUGUUGUUGGACUGAGUUAGAGUAGUGAAGAGGGCUGUGGUUUCAAUAUGCCACGGUGUGGUCAACUAUGAGAGGUGAGAACGACGGUGAGGACAGGAAAGAGAGAUGGAUGGAGGAGGCCUGUCUUUUAAGUGUCGGUGCGUAAUCUGAUACUGAUGACAAGCGCUCGAAAGGAACACAAGCUCCUCCUGCUCCCUCGCUCACUUUCCAGCCAUACUAUCAAUUCUCUCUCCCCUUUCCUUCUCAGCCAACCUCAAAAUCUAUUUCCUUGUUCUUUCUCUCUCUCUCUCUCUCGCACUCCCUUUUGUUCUCCCUCUCUCUGUUUCUCUGCACACCCCUCUCUCCAACCACACCAUCGUCUAUAUAUGACAGAUAUAUUGUUUAUCUACAGCACUUACUCUCUUCUCUCUAUACAUUAGCCCUGGGUUGAUAUAUAGAGUAGUAGUAGAUAUACAGUAGAUAUAUUUUGUUUUGUCACAUACACCGGAGAGGUGCAGUGAAAUGUGUUGUUUUACAGGGUCGGCCUUCCACAUCGACAGAUGUUUCACCUUGUCAGCUCGGGUAUUCAAACCAAACAUUCAGUUACUGGUCCAACAUUCUAACCGCUCGGCUACCUGCCACCGUUUCCAUCAUGCCCUUUGUUCUUUUUUGCUGUUUCUCUCUCCCCUUAUCAUUGUCUGUUCUCCAUCCCCUUCUCCUCCGUCUUCUGUCUGUCCUCUCCACCCCCUCUAGCUCUCUCCUUCCUCUCAGACCACUUACUAGGUAAUCUAAUUUAAGGUGUGGAUGAGUUUUAUUUAUCAUCUACUGAAGUCCAUUUCCUUUCUCUCUCUUCAUCUCUUUCUCUCGGUCUCUCCCCCAGCUUUCUCUUCUCUUUCUCUCCCUUGUUUCUUUUUCUCCCCCUCUCUCUCGUUCUCCCAUUUCUAAGGAAAUCUAAUAACAAGUUGGAAGGAACUUCCCAGUAUCUGUAUUCUCUAACGGCGCCACAAUCAUCAUUAUGACAAAUAUAACUCUCUGGGCGCAUCCCAACUGGCGCCCUAUUCCCUAUAUACUGCACUACUUUUGACCAGGGCCUAUAGGGUGUAAUUUGGGACUUAACCCUCUGGGCUAAGAGAGAGACGGAUGCUAUGGUGUACUGAAUACUUAACAGGGUCAUGACCUUAAAUACUUACAGUGCUUGUAAUUUGGACUAGGACACUGUCUCUGACCGAUUUAACGCCCAUUCAAUGUCUUAACAUUUGAGUCAUUUAGCAGAUGCUCUUAUAAAACGCGACUUACAGGAGAAAUUAUGGAUAAGUGCCUUGGCAGAUUGUUCACCUAUGUAGUCAGUGCUGGGAUUUGAACCAGUGACCUUUCAGUUACUGGCCCAAUGCUCUCAACCUGAGGAAAUGUAAAGGAAGAUGAUAUUUUGGUAUUUUUUUCAUUAGUCAAUUGUUGAUAUAGUGCCAAAAUGUGUUGCAUGUCAGAAAUCAAGUUUUCAAGAUAUAUAACUUUAAAAAUACAGAAAUACAGUGCAUUCUUAAAGUAUUCAGACCCCUUGACUUUUUCCACUUUUUGUUACGCUACAGCAUUAUUAAAACAUGAUUCAAUAAAUCAAAAAUCCUCAUCAAUCUACACACAAUACCCCAUAACGACAAAGUGAAAACAGGUUUUUAAAAAAAAACUUUUUUAAAAUCUUUGCAAAAUAAAAAGCAUAAAUAGCUUAUUUACAUAAGUAUUCAGACCCUUUGCUAUGAGACUCAAAAUUGAGCUCAGGUGCAUCCUGUUUCCAUUAAUCAUCCUUGAGAUGUUUCCACCACCUGAUUGGAGUCCACCUGUGGUAAAUUCAAUUGAUUGGACAUGAUUUGGAAAGGCACACACCUGUCUAUAUAUGGUCCCGCAGUUGACAGUGCAUGUCAGAGCAAAAACCAAUCCAUGAGGUUGAAGGAAUUGUCCGUAGAGCUCUGAGACAGGAUUAUAUCGAGGCACAGAUCUGGGGAAGGGUACCAAAACAUGUCUGCAGCAUUGAAGGUCCCCAAGAACACAGUGGCCUCCAUCAUUCUCAAAUGGAAGAAGUUUGGAACAAUGAAGAGGUGACUCCGGGAUUCUGGCCUUCUAGAAAGAAAAGAAAAAGCCAUAUCUCAGACUGGCCAAUAAAAAGAAAAGAUUAAGAUGGGAAAAAGAACAGACACUGGACAGAGAUAUGGCUUUCUCUUUGCAGCUCUUCCUAGAAGGCCAGCAUCCCGGAGUCGUCUCUUAAUUGUUGACGUUGAGACUGGUGUUUUGCGGGUACUAUUUAAGGAAGCUGCCAGUUGAGGACUAGUGAGAUGUCUGUUUCUCAAACUAAACACUCUAAUGUACUUGGCCUCUUGCUUAGUUGUGCACCGGGGCCUCACACUCCUCUUUCUAUUCUGGUUAGAGUCAGUUUGCGCUGUUCUAUGAAGGGAGUAUGACACGGUGUUGUAUGAGAUCUUCAGUUUCUUAGCAAUUUCUCGCAUGGAAUAGCCUUCAUUUCUCAGAACAAGAAAAGACUGACGAGUUUCAGAAGAAAGUCUUUGUUUCUGGGCCUUUUGAGCCUGUAAUCAAACCCACAAAUGCUGAUGCACCAGAUACUCAACUAGUCUAAAGAAGGCCAGUUUUAUUGCUUCUUUAAUUAGGACAACAGUUUUCAGCUGUGCUAACAUAAUUGCAAAAUGGUUUUCUAAUGAUCAAAUAGCCUUUUAAAAGGAUAAACUUGGAUUAACUUGUACAACGCGCCAUUGGAACACAGGAGUGAUGGUUGCUGAUAAUGAGCCUCUGUAAUCUUACGUAGAUAUUCCAUAAAAAAAUCAGUGUCUACACUGUAUUUCUGAUCAAUUUCAUGUUAGUUUACUGGACAAUUUUUUUUGCUUUUCUUUCAAAAACAAGGACAUUUCUAAGUGACCCCAAACUUUUGAACGGUAGUGUAGACCUUUGAGUUCAUUUUAUUUUUACAGGGACAGUGCACAUUAAUCAACGUUUCAGUAAAAGUGCCGGUUUUAGCCAGCCGGUUAAUUUUCAACCGCAGUCCCUGGGCAGGUUAUUAAAAACAAUUACACUAUAGACAAUCAUUGAGCAGUGAGCACACACAGAGCAACAUAGGACAAGCAAGACGUAGCAUACAGACAGAGCAACAUAGGACAAGCAAGACAUAGCAUACAGACAGAGCAACAUAGGACAAGCAAGACNACAGAGCAACAUAGGACAAGCAAGACGUAGCAUACAGACAGAGCAACAUAGGACAAGCGAGACAUAGCAUACAGACAGAGCAACAUAGGACAAGCAAGACGUAGCAUACAGACAGAGCAACAUAGGACAAGCAAGACAUAGCAUACAGACAGAGCAGCAUAGGACAAGCAAGACGUAGCUGUACAAUUAAAAUGUAUUGUUAUUAUACUGUAUACAUAGAUAUAUCUACAUCUAACAUCCAGAGAUACUGCCUUAAUCUCUAGUCUAGUAUCUUUCAGUCUAUGGAAGAGCCCUAUAUAAAUAAAAUAAAUUAUUAUUCAUUAUUAAAGGGCUACUUUUCAACCAUAUUCAUAAUCUCCGGCACCAAACCAUACGUGAAAACAGCAUGGUUAUAAAAGAUAGGAAGAAAGGCUCGGGAAAAUGCUUCUCUGUGACAUCACAGGGUAGGAUUAAAAGGAAGACAAACAGUGAUUUUCAAAACCUGCAACGGGUUUCUAGCUAGAGGGAGGGUAUUUUCUUGUUCCCCACGCCACCGUGAAUAGCAUAGUGUUUCAAAGUCACCGUUUUUAAAAUGUUAAAACUUAACUGAAUCAUAGUUUUUUUUUUUUAAACAAAAUGUAGAAAUAGACCGUUUUCACAUAUGUAGACACGGGUAUUGUGCUGGAGAUAAUGAAAAUAAGGCUGAAAAGUGGUGGAGCCGUACAUUAGGUUAUAUGUUCAUCUUUCAAUGAGCAUGGUCAAAGACAAGGGGCUGCAUCCCAUCCCAAAUGACGCCCUAUUCCCUUCAUAGGGCACUACUUUUGACCUAUGGACCCUGGUCAAACGUAGGGCGUUAUAUAGGGAAUAGGGUGCCAUUUGGGAUAAAGACACGGUUGAAACAUCGGGUGAAAUCGAUAUAUAUAUGAAAAUGUAUCUAUAACAUACACACAGUAGCAUGCAAAUCGCUAUGGUCAUGGACUUCUAGACCUCAGGUUAAGGACCAAAGACAACAGAUGUGGAAAUGAACCAUCAAGGUUACUGCUCAUUAAAUGUUAGUGUGUGCGUGCGUUGUGUCUGUCAUUAACUGUAAUGGGGGUUGUCUUUUACUUCAAACUCCAGUUUUGGUAAUUUUACUGAGGAUGCUGACAGACUGACUGGUACCACUCAGGAAAUGAAUCUCCUCCUCCUUAACUCUCAAGUCUUUUCCUCAUCUUUUAGUGUGUGUGUGUGUGUGUGUGUCUGCGCGAGCAUUAGGGGAAGCAGAAGAGGAGAAGGAAAGAUAAAGGGGUUGAGAGUCAAUCUGGUA
rnacentral:lncRNA from 1 species